AACGCGUGGGAAUCUGCCUAGUAGUGGGGGACAACAGUCGGAAACGACUGCUAAUACCGCAUACGCCCUACGGGGGAAAGCGGGGGAUCUUCGGACCUCGCGCUAUUAGAUGAGCCCGCGUUGGAUUAGCUUGUUGGUGGGGUAAUGGCCUACCAAGGCGACGAUCCAUAGCUGGUCUGAGAGGAUGAUCAGCCACACUGGGACUGAGACACGGCCCAGACUCCUACGGGAGGCAGCAGUGGGGAAUAUUGGACAAUGGGCGAAAGCCUGAUCCAGCCAUGCCGCGUGUGUGAAGAAGGCCUUAGGGUUGUA
rnacentral:rRNA from 1 species